rnacentral:rRNA from 1 species
AGCAGCCGCGGUAAUUCCAGCUCCAAUAGCGUAUAUUAAAGUUGCUGCAGUUAAAAAGCUCGUAGUUGAAUUUCGGGACCAUCACGUCGGUCGUGCCUCGGUACGUACUGGCGUCGUUGGUUUCUCCCUUCUGACGAACCAUGAUGUCAUUUAUUUGGUGUCGUGGGGAAUCAGGACUGUUACUUUGAAAAAAUUAGAGUAUUUAAAGCAGGCUCGCGCUUGAAUACAUUAGCAUGGAAUAAUGAAAUAGGACGUUGAUCCUAUUUUGUUGGCUUCUAGGAUUGACGUAAUGAUUAAUAGGGAUAGUUGGGGGCAGUUAGUAUUUAAUUGUCAGAGGUGAAAUUCUUGGAUUUAUGAAGACUAACUACUGCGAAAGCAUUUGCCAAGGAUGUUUUCAUUAAUCAAGAACGAAAGUUAGGGAUCGAAGACGAUCAGAUACCGUCGUAGUCGUUAACCAUAAACCUAUAGCCGACUAGGGAUCGGAUGAUGUUAAUUUUUAUGUACU